GUCAAACUUGAUCACGUGGUACAAUUUCGACGAAAACGCCAUCUGGAUAAAUUUUAGCGUCAAAAACUGAAAAAACUAAACAAUGUUUAGUUUUUGACGCUGGAGCUAUGGAACUAUGUGCGUUAAGCUAAAAACCUAUAAUCGAAGUUGGUAGUAAUCGAUAUAUAUCGAAAAAUAAUAAACAAGAGUAAUAAAAUAUUUUUUUUUAGAAUAAUUGAAAAAAUAUAUGAAAAAGGUAUCAUGGACUACGGGAAGCUGAUAAAAGAACAAUAAUCCGUCGAGCACAAUUUGAGAACGGCACCGAAAAAAUUAUUCGCGAAUUAUUGCCCGAACUAGAUGGCAAAGAUGAUGUCUCUCAGUUGUACAGUGGUCGUGCUAUCGGAGGUGAGAAAAAAGCAAGUGUUGAAGAAUUUGUAGACUAUCAUGUGUUAGACGAUGAAGAUGACAUGUUAAGCUUACCCUCACCGCAAAAAAGUCCUACACUCCAAUCUGCUUCGACAAAGGGUUGUAAGGGUGGAAAAAAAAAAGAAGCUAUAAUGUCUCAGAAACCACAAGAAUCUAAACUAACGGACGAUGAAAUCGAAUUUUUAAUUUUGGAAGUCCAAUCAAGGCCGCCCUUGUGGAACUAUGAAACACCUCUAGCAAACCGCUCGUCAAAAGCUACUGAUCUACUGUGGGAAGAAAUAUCAAAAGCUAUGAACUGUAUGUUGAAUUUUUUUUUCUCUAUCAAUUUUUAAUAAGUAUUUAUUAUUAUUUUUUUACCACUUCCAUAGCAUUUCACAUGUUUCAUUUAUAAUAUUAAUUGUUGUUGUGAAACCUACAAGAUAAUGAUAGGAUACUGAAGUCAUACAAUCACCUGUUGCCAAGUAUCUGCAGAGAAAAAAUUAAUAUAUACAGUUAUGCUAACUUCUUAUGAAUCAUGAUUUGAAUAAUGAGAUUAAUAUGAGAUGAAUAAGAUAAUUAUUACCUUAGGGUCAUUG